GACGAACGCUGGCGGCGUGCCUAAUACAUGCAAGUUGAGCGAUGAAGAUUGGUGCUUGCACCAAUUUGAAGAGCAGCGAACGGGUGAGUAACGCGUGGGGAAUCUGCCUUUGAGCGGGGGACAACAUUUGGAAACGAAUGCUAAUACCGCAUAAUAACUUUAAACAUAAGUUUUAAGUUUGAAAGAUGCAAUUGCAUCACUCAAAGAUGAUCCCGCGUUGUUUUAGCUAGUUGGUGAGGUAAAGGCUCACCAAGGCGAUGAUACAUAGCCGACCUGAGAGGGUGAUCGGCCACAUUGGGACUGAGACACGGCCCAAACUCCUACGGGAGGCAGCAGUAGGGAAUCUUCGGCAAUGGACGAAAGUCUGACCGAGCAACGCCGCGUGAGUGAAGAAGGUUUUCGGAUCGUAAAACUCUGUUGGUAGAGAAGAACGUUGGUGAGAGUGGAAAGCUCAUCAAGUGACGGUAACUACCCAGAAAGGGACGGCUAACUACGUG
rnacentral:rRNA from 1 species